rnacentral:tRNA from 1 species
UAAGGUGUAGCUCAGUGGUGGAGUGCUUGCCUCACAUGUGUGAGGCACUGGGUUCAAUACUCAGCACCACAU